rnacentral:tRNA from 2 species
GGGCGUAUAGCUCAGCUGGUUAGAGCGCACGCCUGAUAAGCGUGAGGCCGGUGGUUCGAGUCCACUUAUGCCCACCA